UUCUCUUCCUCUCUUACUUUUUAUCCGCCGCUCUGCUUCUUCUUGUCAAGUCGCCGACGCUCAGCUUCUCUUUGUCAAGUUGUCGUCGCUCAGCAGCUCCGCCUCUCCUUGUGAAGCCGCUAUAUGCUCUUGGUGCAGUUAUGACCCCCUUGAAGUUUAAUGCACGCGGUUAAGUUUGAUGAAAAAACUAACGGAAGCUAUUCCAUAAACCACAAAAGGGAUAUGUACUUAUAUUACAAGCACAUGAGGGUCAUAUGCAAAAACUUGUAACCUCAGGGAGGUUAAAAUGAUAUUUACCUUAUUUUUGUCAUUUUUUUAUUUUUUUUUAUUUUUUUUUAUUUUCUAUACUACCACGUGGAUGUCCAACCUAUUCUAUCUUAUUGAAAUCGGGUAACAAACAUUACAUGUUAUUUAAACAAGGUCAAAUCUCAUUAAUGGUCCCUCAUCUUCACAUUUA